rnacentral:rRNA from 1 species
CCCUUAGACGUUCUGGGCCGCACGCGCGCUACACUGACCAGUGCAACAAGCAUCCGUCCUUGGCCGACAGGCCCGGGCAAUCUUUGAACGCUGGUCGUGAUGGGGAUAGACUUUUGCAAUUUUUGGUCUUCAACGAGGAAUUCCUAGUAAACGCAAGUCAUCAACUUGCAUUGAUUACGUCCCUGCCCUUUGUACACACCGCCCGUCGCACCUACCGAUUGAAUGGUCCGGUGAAGCGUUUGGACUAUGGUUUUCUGACGGUUCGCCAUUGGAUUACCGUGGGAAAUUCGUUAAACCUUAUCAUUUAGAGGAAGGAGAAGUCGUAACA